rnacentral:rRNA from 2 species
UGGGGAAUAUUGGACAAUGGGCGCAAGCCUGAUCCAGCCAUGCCGCGUGAGUGAUGAAGGCCUUAGGGUUGUAAAGCUCUUUCACCGAUGAAGAUAAUGACGGUAGUCGGAGAAGAAGCCCCGGCUAACUUCGUGCCAGCAGCCGCGGUAAUACGAAGGGGGCUAGCGUUGUUCGGAUUUACUGGGCGUAAAGCGCACGUAGGCGGUUUGUUAAGUCAGGGGUGAAAUCCCGGAGCUCAACUCCGGAACUGCCUUUGAUACUGGCAAGCUAGAGUCCGGAAGAGGUAAGUGGAACUCCUAGUGUAGAGGUGGAAUUCGUAGAUAUUAGGAAGAACACCAGUGGCGAAGGCGGCUUACUGGUCCGGAACUGACGCUGAGGUGCGAAAGCGUGGGGAGCAAACAGG